CCUACGGGCGGCAGCAGUGGGGAAUAUUGCACAAUGGGCGCAAGCCUGAUGCAGCCAUGCCGCGUGUGUGAAGAAGGCCUUCGGGUUGUAAAGCACUUUCAGCGGGGAGGAAGGCGUUAAGGUUAAUAACCUUGGCGAUUGACGUUACCCGCAGAAGAAGCACCGGCUAACUCCGUGCCAGCAGCCGCGGUAAUACGGAGGGUGCAAGCGUUAAUCGGAAUUACUGGGCGUAAAGCGCACGCAGGCGGUCUGUCAAGUCGGAUGUGAAAUCCCCGGGCUCAACCUGGGAACUGCAUUCGAAACUGGCAGGCUAGAGUCUUGUAGAGGGGGGUAGAAUUUCAGGUGUAGCGGUGAAAUGCGUAGAGAUCUGGAGGAAUACCGGUGGCGAAGGCGGCCCCCUGGACAAAGACUGACGCUCAGGUGCGAAAGCGUGGGGAGCAAACAGGAUUAGAUACCCUAUAGUC
rnacentral:rRNA from 1 species